UACGGGGGGGGCGAGCGUUGUUCGGAAUUACUGGGCGUAAAGCGCGCGUAGGCGGCUUUGCAAGUCGAGUGUGAAAUCCCCAGGCUUAACCUGGGAACUGCAUUCGAGACUGCAUAGCUAGAGUAUGGGAGAGGGAAGUGGAAUUUCCGGUGUAGCGGUGAAAUGCGUAGAUAUCGGAAGGAACAUCAGUGGCGAAAGCGACUUCCUGGACCAGCACUGACACUGAGGCACGAAAGCGUGGGGAGCAAACAGG
rnacentral:rRNA from 1 species